GAUAGGUUAAGUUAAUAAKGGCGCAUGGUGGAUGCCUUGGCACUAGAAGGCGAUGAAGGACGUGACUAACUACGAUAUGCCUCGGUUAGCUGUAAGUAAGCUUACCCGGGGGUUUCCGAAUGGGGCAACCCGAUCUUAAUGAUCAUCAUCUUUUUGAAUUCAUAGAUUAGAUGAAGCAAACGCUGUGAACUGAAACAUCUAAGUAGCAGUAGGAAAGUAAAGAAAUUUCGAUUCCGUCAGUAGCGGCGAGCGAACGCGGAAGAGCCCAAACCUGGAUGCUUGCAUCCAGGGGUUGUAGGACUGAUGUUGAGUUACAAAGGUAUAAGAUAGCAGAAACAGUUGGGAAGCUGUUCCAAAGAGGGUGACAGGCCCGUAUGCGAAAUCUUGUACUCUCUAAUCAGGAUCCUGAGUACGGCCCAGCACGUGAAAUUGGGUCGGAAUCUGGGAGGACCAUCUCCCAAGGCUAAAUACUAACUAGUGACCGAUAGCGAACAAGUACCGUGAGGGAAAGGUGAAAAGAACCCCGGAAGGGGAGUGAAAUAGUUCUUGAAACCGUGUGCUUACAAGAAGUUCGAGGCCGUUAAUGGCUGAGAGCGUGCUUUUUGUAGAAUGAACCGGAGAGUUACGAUUGCGUGCAAGGUUAAGGUGCAAAGACUGGAGCCGUAGCGAAAGCGAGUCUUAAUAKGGCGAAUCAGUACGUAGUUGUAGACC
rnacentral:rRNA from 1 species